UCCUUAAAGACAUCGGAUAAAGAUAAAAUUAGAAUGAUACAUAGAGAAGAUUAGCAUGACCCCUGUGCAAAGAUGACACACAAAUCAAGAAAAGCCAAGAGGAAAGCU